UACCAGCACCCCGAGUGGUCGGGACGAUUAUUGGGCCUAAAGCAUCCGUAGCCGGUUCUACAAGUCUUCCGUUAAAUCCACCUGCUUAACAGAUGGGCUGCGGAGGAUACUAUAGAGCUAGGAGGCGGGAGAGGCAAGCGGUACUUAGUGGGUAGGGGUAAAAUCCGUUGAUCCAUUGAAGACCACCAGUGGCGAAGGCGGCUUGCCAGAACCGCACUCGACGGUGAGGGAUGAAAGCUGGGGGAGCAAACCGGG
rnacentral:rRNA from 1 species